CGCACGGUGGCACAGUGGGUAGCGCUGUUGCCUCACUGCAAGAACGUUGUGGGUUGAAAACUGGCCUGUGUGG